rnacentral:rRNA from 1 species
GACGAACGCUGGCGGCGUGCUUAACACAUGCAAGUCGACGACGCUACUGAGUAGCAAUAUUUAGUAGUGGAGUGGCGCAAGGGUGAGUAAUGUAUACGUAACCAACCCAUCGGAGACGGAUAACAUUUCGAAAGGGAUGCUAAAACGGCAUGAAGCCACGAUUUCGCAUGAGAUUGUGGUUAAAGAACCGGUAACAGGUUGCCGAUGGCUGGGCGUAUAUCCGAUUAGCUAGUUGGUAGUGUAAUGGACUACCAAGGCGACGAUCGGUAGCUGGUCUGAGAGGAUGAUCAGCCACACUGGCACUGAGGCACGGGCCAGACUCCUACGGGAGGCAGCAGUGGGGAAUAUUGGGCAAUGCUCGCAAGGGUGACCCAGCAACGCCGCGUGGAGGAUGAAGGCCGUAAGGUUGUAAACUCUGACAAGCAGGGAAGAACGGCUAUGGUAAAAGGCCAUAGAAUGACGGUACCUGCCUGAAGCCCCGGCUAACUACGUG